rnacentral:rRNA from 1 species
CCUACGGGUGGCAGCAGUGGGGAAUAUUGGACAAUGGGGGCAACCCUGAUCCAGCCAUGCCGCGUGUGUGAAGAAGGCCCUCGGGUUGUAAAGCACUUUCAGUGAGGAAGAACGCCUGGUGGUUAAUACCCAUCAGGAAAGACAUCACUCACAGAAGAAGCACCGGCUAACUCCGUGCCAGCAGCCGCGGUAAUACGGAGGGUGCGAGCGUUAAUCGGGAUUACUGGGCGUAAAGCGCGCGUAGGUGGCUUGAUAAGCCGGUUGUGAAAGCCCCGGGCUCAACCUGGGAACGGCAUCCGGAACUGUCAAGCUAGAGUGCAGGAGAGGAAGGUAGAAUUCCCGGUGUAGCGGUGAAAUGCGUAGAGAUCGGGAGGAAUACCAGUGGCGAAGGUGGCCUUCUGGACUGACACUGACACUGAGGUGCGAAAGCGUGGGUAGCAAACAGGAUUAGAUACCCCAGUAGUC